CUCCUCAGCUUCAUCGGGGUGGGUUUUCACCCCGUUCCUGCUUCCUCCUCUGGCGCCCCUUGGUAGGUCGGGGGAUGAGGUGAUUGAUAGAAGGGUGGCGCGGUUGGACCCGGGGAGCGUGCUCGAUGGGUAGGUUAGGGUUCCGGGUGGCGUUGGGGUGUGCGGCCGUGUCGUGCGCCAUCGCUGCGGCGCUAGUUGGUCGGAGGCUGAGGAGCAGGAGGCAGUGGAGCCGAGCGGUGGAGCUGGUGAGGGAGUUCGAGGAGGCGUGCGCCACCCCUGUCGGGAGGCUGCGUCAGGUGGUCGAUGCCAUGGCGGUGGAGAUGCACGCAGGGCUCGCGUCGGAUGGGGGUAGCAAGCUCAAGAUGUUGCUGACCUUCAUCGAUAAACUUCCCGAUGGCAUGGAUCCCGAACACAAAAGGGAAUCAAUCGAGAAAUACCAGGGGCCUUCUCAGUCCUAAGAUUGACAUUUUUCUGGUAUUGGUGAACUUACAUGUGUCCAUUUACAUGGCAUUUCGAGAUUCUUGGAUCAUUUCUGCUCAUAUCAUAUGCUUGCUCUCGGUGCCUGGGUAGAAAGCUAAUUCACUGUUGAUUCGUCGUCUAGCUAAAGAAUAUGCAAGCUAGAAUAACUGGCCACUGCUGUACAGAACUAGGGAGCAGAGGUAGAUGUAAAAAGGCUAACUAAGAGGCCUACUCCUCCUCGAUUUGGUCGCACCUUGACUGAAGCACAAAAG